rnacentral:rRNA from 1 species
UACGGGGGGGGCAAGCGUUGUUCGGAAUUACUGGGCGUAAAGGGCUCGUAGGCGGCCAACUAAGUCGGAUGUGAAAUCCCCAGGCUUAACCGGGGAACUGCAUCUGAUACUGGAUGGCUUGAGUUCGGGAGAGGGAUGCGGAAUUCCAGGUGUAGCGGUGAAAUGCGUAGAUAUCUGGAGGAACACCGGUGGCGAAGGCGGCAGCCUGGACCGACACUGACGCUGAGGAGCGAAAGCCAGGGGAGCAAACGGG